rnacentral:lncRNA from 1 species
UGUUGUUGCUCGUGAAUAAGAAGCAUCUGCUUUUUCUAUGUUUUCUUAUCUUAUCAGUUUUUGUUCUGAACUUUUAUAGAAAAUUAGCUAUCUUUGUACCACCUUUGCUUUUCUAUGUUUUCUUAUCUUAUCAGUUUUUGUUCUGAACUUUUAUAGAAAAUUAACUAUCUUUGUACCACCUUUGCAGACACCAUUUUCAUAUAUGUAUGAGUAUAUGAUGAUACUGUGUUCCUAAUGGUGCAUAAUGCAUUAAGCUGUGUGAUGUAUUAGAGUUAUGCAUAAGAAUAAAAGCAAGAGUUAUGCAUAAGAAUAAAAGCAAUUGCUUGCUUUUGUACAUUGUCAUUUAAACAACUUUUAGAUUGGAUCAAUCUAAAUUAAAUUAUUCCUACUUUUCAAUGUUUUACUAUAUGCUAGUGUGAUUUAUCUGGA